AUCAGCGGGGAAAGAAGAC
rnacentral:ncRNA from 2 species